GGUUGGUGGCUCAGCGGUAGAGUGCUUGCCUAGCAUGUGCUAAGGCCCUAGGUUCGAUCCUCAGCACCA
rnacentral:tRNA from 1 species